GGUGGCGCGUUCAGGGGUGGAGGCGGAGCGGAGAUGAGCUUGGGCCGGGUGUGGGGAGCUGCCGGUGGGGGCUCUGCAUCCGCCAAAUUUUCCCUGUGGGGGCUCCAGCCCUGGAGCACCCACGGAGCUGGUGCCUAAGGCGCCACUUUUGAUGUGAUCAGUGGGGGGAGCAGCCGCUCCCCCUGCUCUCCCCCAGCUACGCUACCCCACCCCUAGGAGCCAGAGGGACCUGCCGGAUGCUUCCCGGGAGCCACCCCAGGUACAAGCCAUCUCAUCAGUAGUUUCCACUGUCAUUCUCUCAGCAGAGCUCCACAAAUGAAAGUGAAGAGUGAAUUACUUCAAAAUGAUAUAUUAUUGCUUCCUUACCACACACCAUACACCAGGUCAUUGGGUUCUUGCGAAACUUCAUCAAAUGAUUAACUAGAAAAUCCUCAUCUGAUUGGAAUAGUAAAAUUGUUCAGCAUCCCAGACAAAGUGAUGGCCACAACUGCAGACCGCUCAUCUUAAAGUUUGCAGAAACAUAUUUGCAGCACAAACAACACAAGAGGCUAAUACUGCGUUUAGAAGACAUAUAGCAAUUCUUCUAAUGAAGGAGUCAGGUGCAGUAAAGUAAAAAUUUGAGAAAAUAUGACUCCCAAAAAAGAAAAAGAAAGCGUGGAGGACUCCUGCAUCUACCGCAGGCUUGUCAACUGUGAAAAGGAAAGUGAGGAUUGCACGAUGGUCCAGUGUGAUUCUUGCAAGAGGUGGGUACAUAUGCCCUGCAUUCCAGAAGGAACCAAUCAAGACUAUCUGACUGAUGAGAAGAAAGAGUACAACUGCAAAAAAUGUGCAUAGUUCCCUUCUUUACCAAAAAAACAACAACAAAACAAAACAAAUAAAAACAACAAAACAACAACAACAACAAACCAUUGUGUUUAAAUGCCUCUUGUUCAAAACAUAAUGCAACCAAAAUAAAUGUGUUAAUUUAUAUACCAGAUUAUAAUAAUAAAUGUUUUUUAUUUGAAAAAAAAUAUUCUUGGUAU